rnacentral:misc_RNA from 1 species
UCCGAGUUGACCCCGGCAGUCUCCUACGAGUCCCCGCCAUUACGCGUUGGCAACAUAGGACAAGGGUUGCGCUCGUUGCGGGACUUAACCCAACACCUCACGGCACGAGCUGACGACAACCAUGCACCACCUGUAUACGGCCCCGAAGGACACCAUAUCUCUAUGGCUUUUCCGUAUAUUUCAAGCCCUGGUAAGGCUCUUCGCGUUGCGUCGAAUUAAGCCGCAUGCUCCGCCGCUUGUGCGGGCCCCCGUCAAUUCCUUUGAGUUUUAGCCUUGCGGCCGUACUCCCCAGGCGGGGUGCUUAAUGCGUUAGCUUCGGCACGGACGGGGUCGAUAUCCGCCCACACCUAGCACCCAACGUUUACGGCUAGGACUAC